UAGCUCAGGUUUCUCUUCAUUCACGCAUAAAUCUUUCGCCUUUUAACUAAAGAUUUCCGUGGAGAGGAACGUUGAUGAGUUCAACUUAUUUUUGUGGGCUUUGCUGUAGCAAAGCU